AGGGGUGUAGCUCCAACUGGCUAGAGCGGCGGUCUCCAAAACCGUAGGUUCGGGGUUCGAAUCCCCGCACCCCUGCCA
rnacentral:tRNA from 1 species